GCACAGAGAAGCUUGCUUCUUGGGUGGCGAGUGGCGAACGGGUGAGUAAUAUAUCGGAACGUACCGAGCAGUGGGGGAUAACUAAUCGAAAGAUUAGCUAAUACCGCAUAUUUUCUGAGGAAGAAAGCAGGGGACCAUUUGGCCUUGCGCUGUUUGAGCGGCCGAUAUCUGAUUAGCUGGUUGGUGGGGUAAAGGCCUACCAAGGCGACGAUCAGUAGCGGGUCUGAGAGGAUGAUCCGCCACACUGGGACUGAGACACGGCCCAGACUCCUACGGGAGGCAGCAGUGGGGAAUUUUGGACAAUGGGCGCAAGCCUGAUCCAGCCAUGCCGCGUGUCUGAAGAAGGCCUUCGGGUUGUAAAGGACUUUUGUCAGGGAAGAAAAGGAUAGGGUUAAUACCCCUGUCUGAUGACGGUACCUGAAGAAUAAGCACCGGCUAACUACGUGCCAGCAGCCGCGGUAAUACGUAGGGUGCGAGCGUUAAUCGGAAUUACUGGGCGUAAAGCGGGCGCAGACGGUUACUUAA
rnacentral:rRNA from 1 species